rnacentral:rRNA from 1 species
UACGGGGGGAGCAAGCGUUGUUCGGAUUUACUGGGCGUAAAGGGCGCGUAGGCGGCCAGCACAAGUCAGUUGUGAAAUCUCCGAGCUUAACUCGGAAAGGUCAACUGAUACUGUGCGGCUAGAGUGCAGAAGGGGCAACUGGAACUCUUGGUGUAGCGGUGAAAUGCGUAGAUAUCAAGAGGAACACCUGCGGCGAAGGCGGGUUGCUGGGCUGACACUGACGCUGAGGCGCGAAAGCUAGGGGAGCGAACGGG